rnacentral:rRNA from 1 species
AUUGAACGCUGGCGGCAGGCCUAACACAUGCAAGUCGAGCGGAUGAAGGGAGCUUGCUCCUGGAUUCAGCGGCGGACGGGUGAGUAAUGCCUAGGAAUCUGCCUGGUGGUGGGGGAUAACGUCCGGAAACGGGCGCUAAUACCGCAUACGUCCUGAGGGAGAAAGUGGGGGAUCUUCGGACCUCACGCUAUCAGAUGAGCCUAGGUCGGAUUAGCUAGUUGGUGGGGUAAAGGCCUACCAAGGCGACGAUCCGUAACUGGUCUGAGAGGAUGAUCAGUCACACUGGAACUGAGACACGGUCCAGACUCCUACGGGAGGCAGCAGUGGGGAAUAUUGGACAAUGGGCGAAAGCCUGAUCCAGCCAUGCCGCGUGUGUGAAGAAGGUCUUCGGAUUGUAGAGCACUUUAAGUUGGGAGGAAGGGCAGUAAGUUAAUACCUUGCUGUUUUGACGUUACCAACAGAAUAAGCACCGGCUAACUUCGUG